CAGACUUCUAUCAGGCGCGUUCACGGUCAUAACAAAGCCUACGUCAGCAUGCGCGCUUCACAGAAUGUCCGCCCCCAUGCUUGCCUGGAGUUUCACAUCGCAAUAGGAGGAUUCUCCUCAGGUGUGUGAGGAUGAGAAGGUCUCCACAGUCUGGAGUCUGGUCUCUGACAGGCUCAACAUACCUGUGAAUCAACAGGGACUCCUCUACAAAGGCAAGGCGCUGACAGGUAGGCUGAACAGCACAGCACAGCACAGCUCACCCCUCCUCUCACCCCUCGCCUCACCCCUCCUCUCACUCCUCGCCUCACCCCGGGUCAGUGUGGCACAGCCUGCCUGCUCUUCUGAACAAACACUUCAGCCCUGCCGACGCAGUGAGAGUCUGGAGCAGCAACACAAGGAUUACGAGCGGAGGCUGCGCUUGUUGAGCCUGGAUGAUAUGGAGCGGCUGGCGACUCGCAUGCUUCACCCUUAGGCUGUGGAGUGCAUGGAGCUGUCCUUCCUGGACUGAGGAAUACUGCUGCUGCCCUCUCCACCUCUCCCCUCUCUUCUCCCCUCUCCCCUCUCUCCUCUCUCCUCUCCUCUUUACUCUCUCCUCCCCCUCUCCUCUCCUCUCCUUACUUUGUUUAAAAGAAUAGAAGCACACCCAGUGAGCAAGGCAUUGAGCAGCCCCACAUCCCGCUUCACAAUACCGCUACAUAUUGACUGACUGUUUGCAUUGUGUGUGUUUGGUAAGACAAACCACAUUUUCUACUUUCUGCUAUUUUAAAAGGAGCCCAGUUUGGUGCAGGAGGUUUGUAGGUAACAGAGUGUGUUUUUGCUGGGGACUGCAGCCCUUCCAUUACCAUUGCUCGUAGAGGGGAGAUUGUUUUACUUUCAAGCCUUUUUCUUUAAUAAAUCCGGACGUUUGGAAAUACA